rnacentral:lncRNA from 10 species
ACCUGCUGGGCCAGAGCGAUGAGCAGUAAUGGCAGAUUUUAUGAAGAGGCAGUUUGGAGGGCGAGUGGCCUGCUGAGCCUAUGACAGAGCCCUGCUGGCACACAUAUUAUAUGUGUGAUAACGAUGGUGAUGAGGAGGAUGAGGAGGAUGAUGUCGAAUAGAAAUGCACCUUCUUGAAGGGUUCCUCUCCCACAUGAACGCUUAUCUUAUUUGAACCAGAAAUGUGCACACUGAACCCACUCCUGCUGAAGAAGACUGCUGUGACUGAUGCAGAUAUGCUAACAGGCACAGGAAAAGGAUCCAGGUGACUUUCUUGUUAAAGAAGUGCAUGCAUUUUCUAUCCACCGAAACCCACACAAACAGGUGGCACAAGGGCCCCCUUGGCCAGAGACCAAGUCUCCCUGGGCCUCCAACUUCCAUGGAGGCCCCCAAGCUGCCCUUGGUUCCGAUGGUGCAAGGAAGCGUCUACCUGUAAGAGCUCUCUUUUGCCACUUCCCAGGAGUUUUAGACCCUUCUGGCCACCCCUGUGCCUUCUAGAAUCCCAGGCUAAGCGCCCACCUGUCCACCAGGUGCAGGUAACAGUGACAAACUCAGCAUUUGCUGAAGGUCACUGUGAGGCCGUGUGCCUCCAAAGUCCCUCCCUGCUUCCCUCCUGGGUCACACAGGUGCUGUGGCUGUGAAGUCGCAGUUGCGGUAGCAGCGGUGGCAGGAUCACUCUCCUUUGGGCAAUUCUGGUGAACCUGCAAGCCCAGCCUCUAACUCUGAGACCAAGCAGCUGAGAGUCACCUAAAACCUACAGUCAGAGUCAGCUAAAAUUUUACAAACGAUGAAGGCACAGCAUAGUGCUGUUUAUUGGAAAUGCGAUAAUAAAAUAGAUUUAUUUUAUUAUCCACAUUUUAAGCAGUUUAACUUGUUUAUGG